rnacentral:rRNA from 1 species
CAGGCCUAACACAUGCAAGUCGAGGGGCAGCACAUAUAAGCUUGCUUAUAGGGUGGCGACCGGCGCACGGGUGCGUAACGCGUAUACAAUCUACCUUAUGCUGAGGGAUAGCCCAGAGAAAUUUGGAUUAACCCCUCAUGGUAUUAGAGGAUGGCAUCAUUUUUUAAUUAAAGGUUACGGCAUAAGAUGAGUAUGCGUCCCAUUAGCUAGUUGGUAGGGUAACGGCUUACCAAGGCUACGAUGGGUAGGGGUCCUGAGAGGGAGAUCCCCCACACUGGUACUGAGACACGGACCAGACUCCUACGGGAGGCAGCAGUGAGGAAUAUUGGACAAUGGGCGGAAGCCUGAUCCAGUCAUGCCGCGUGCAGGAAGACGGCCCUAUGGGUUGUAAACUGCUUUUAAACGGGAAGAAUAAGACCUACGUGUAGGUUGAUGACGGUACCGUAAGAAUAAGGACCGGCUAACUCCGUGCCAGCAGCCGCGGUAAUACGGAGGGUCCGAGCGUUAUUCGGAAUUAUUGGGUUUAAAGGGUCCGUAGGCGGGCUAUUAAGUCAGGGGUGAAAGUUUGCAGCUCAACUGUAAAAUUGCCUUUGAUACUGGUAGUCUUGAGUUGUAUUGAAGUGGCUGGAAUAUGUAGUGUAGCGGUGAAAUGCAUAGAUAUUACAUAGAACACCGACUGCGAAGGCAGGUCACUAAGUACACACUGACGCUGAUGGACGAAAGCGUGGGGAGCGAACAGGAUUAGAUACCCUGGUAGUCCACGCCGUAAACGAUGGAUACUAGCUGUCCGGGACCUUGAG